rnacentral:tRNA from 1 species
CAAGAAUUAGUUUAAUAAAAUAUUAAUUUUGGAGAUUAAAGUUAGAGAGUUUCUUUAUUCUUGA